GGCCUUCUCAGCCACUGUUGGACAGAUCCAUACCUGACUUCAACACCUUCAGCUCAGUCGAGGACUGGCUCGCUGCCAUUAAGAUGGGCCAGUACAGAGACAACUUCCUCAACUCAGGCUUUACCUCCCUGCAGCUGGUGGCUCAAAUGACCUCAGAGGACUUGCUGAGAAUAGGAGUGACCCUGGCAGGCCACCAGAAGAAGAUCCUCAGUAAUAUCCAGUCCAUGAGGGUGCAGAUGAGCCAGUCACCCACGACUAUGGCAUGACUACAGGGGGCGCUGUGCCACGGAACGGGCAGCAUUCGCAGGACCAACAACAAUGGCAGCCCUCGAAUGACCCCCGAUCCAUCGGAACGCGCCAGAGUCGAGACUAUUGUCUUAAUCUAAUCCACUACCAUGACAACAGGAGACCAGGGUCUACACUACCACAUGGUUAACAGCUAUCACACUUCAUGCAAUCUACACCAGGAGUUCAGGGUCCAGACUUGAUACUGUUUCUCCAUUUAUUCACGAAAGGAAGACAGAUAUCGGUUGCUGCGGUUCUAUGGACUGCCACUCACGUCAUUGUAAACCAAAAUAACUCCAACAAUCCAACAUCGUCACAGGGAACCUCUCACAAUCUCCAGACUGUAUGGUAAAACGAGUGAUAUUGUGCUUCUAUAUUAUCUGGACUAGAAGAUGUUAAAAUUGUAAACAGAAGUGUGAGCCAUUUAGAAACAACGUGUGACCUGUGAUUUUACCGUCGUCAAUGUGUGCAAUGAAGAUGCCUUGACCUGGCCAGAAAUAAGUCCCAGAAGAAAAAGCAAUUACCAGUAGGAAUAAUUAGAGAGAGAGAAGAAUACAGGGAUGUACAGUGGAGCACCAUUUUCAACUUUCACAUCAUCUUUUGCUCGUUUGACAAAUUUGAGAAAUGUAUCGUAAAUGGACUGGUUGAAAUUCAGAGCCAGUUGUAUUUUUUGUCUUUUACCAUCUGUUUGUUUGUUUGUUUUUAUCACUAUAGCAAGAUGCCGCCCACUCGUAUUUUAACUUUAACACUACCUGUGGAGUCCUGGGUGGAAGGCCUUGCCAAAGGACUUCUUAACCAGCCCCACCCAGAUUCAGAGAAUAUAAAUAUGUUUAUCUCUUGCUAAAUAUGAUUAUAUCUUUCAUAUUAAACCUUCAUAUUGAAGGUGAUAUGUAUGAAUAUGUAUGUACAGAACUCUCUGCUUGCAUUUUUGGCAAAGACAUGUUUGUUGACUAGAUUGUGAUAGACACAUGCAAUGUGUAGAUUCCCUACGGUGCCCCGGUUCCCUUCGGACGACCAAAACAACAGACACUGGGGGUUGUGCGUCUCCCUGCUCCAGGGGCACAGAGACAAUCCUGACUGAAUCUUAACCUGAGGAAAACGUUAAAGGAAUUGUGGGCGAAGAAUUGGUAUUGUAGAGCUAUAUGAAAAUUGCUGUAGGAGUUAAAAUAAUUGACAAAAUAUCCAUUUAUUGGAGAUCAUGUUUAAUGUGGGUGUACACAUGCUGUCUCUUGCUGGUGAGCACUUACUUGUACAGAUAUGUUUUAUGUUUUUAUUUCUUUUUUUGUUCUGUUGUUGUUUGUGUUGGGAGUGCUCAGCACCAUCCAGAGGGGAAGGAAACUCCACGCUUCAGCCAGCCCGAACCCAUGACUGUGGACUCAAAGAUUUACACACGUAUAAAACAGCAUACACAACACACUUUCACACACACACUAUGAACACUUGCUGUGGGUGGGCAGUGAGCAGGAAGAACAAGUGAAAUGGGACCCUUCCUGGAUACCAGUCACAACUUCCCCCCUACGGUACACAAUGGAUGGUGGAGCUGAAUAUGCACAUGUCAUAGUUUGUUUAUUUGUUUGUGUGUGUGAGAGAGAGAGAGAGAGUGAAUGUGUGUGUGUGUGUGUGUGUAGCGGGCACAUUUGUGUGUACAGACAUUUAUGUGUGCACAGGUACAUUAAGAGCGUGAACGGUUUCCUUUUUUUUUCUGUAUAGCUACCACUUGUAAAUUGUGACAAGUACGUGUCAAGAGUUUGUAAGCUGUAACUUUCUGAGAACUAUUGUACUAAAAAUGCACUCAAUAAACGCCUUGGAAAACAA